rnacentral:lncRNA from 1 species
ACACCCUUUGAGUAGCCUCCAUAUCCCCAGCUGCAGCAUACAUCCCAACCAGAAUCAUCACAAACCUGUUCACUUACGCAUACGCGGACCAAUGUAGUUUAGAGUUCAGGAAUUUCAUCGAACACCCUUUGAGUGGCCCACACAUCCCCUACUUCAGCAUACGUCCCAAACAGAAUCACCACAAACAGAUCAGACACAAACCUGUUCACUCACGCAUACACCGACCAAGGUUGUUUAAGUUCAGGGAGGCGGAGUGCCACAGUCAGCCUGUUGCUCCUCUAGAUGAUCUGCCGCAGCCUCUCUUACACAAACAACAAUGGCUCACGCAUCACCC